rnacentral:lncRNA from 1 species
UAAGGUCAAAACAGUGAAUACAGACCCCAGACAGUAUCAAAUGAAACAUACGCCUUGUAAGGUCAAAACAGUGAAUACAGACCCCAGACAGUAUCAAAUGAAAGAUACGUCUUGUAAGGUCAAAACAGUGAAUACAGACCCCAGACAGUAUCAAAUGAAAGAUACAUCUUGUAAGGUCAAAAUAGUGCGACUCUGAAAAUGAGUUACCAGCAUACAAUGUAAAUUGCCGGUGAAAUACCGUUACCUUAAGGCCAAUGAAUUAUAAGGUAACCCGGGAUACUCGUAACCAUACUGACUAGAGUUCCAGACGCCCUACUAGCGUCUAUAAAAUGUGACAUUGGUCACCCGUUGGCUUGGUAGGCCGGGACUGUAGCUAGCAGUCUGGGUGCGGGGUUCUCAAUCCCGUAUAGAUCUAUACACACAAUGUCCGCUCUCCCUACAGGAGACUCUGGUUACCAACUAGACGAUGGAGAAGGCCGUGUCCUGAAGAUGCAUCCCAAAUAGUGGGUAGAGACUUCCAAAUAGUGGGUUUCUAAUGUAAGUGCUGAACUAGAUGUAGAGACUCAUAACUGAAUUGACUGAAGUAAACCCAUAUGUAUAUGCUUGUGUACAUAAUAUAUAACUAAUGAAUCAAAUGACCUUCGGAUGGACAUCCGAUCCCACCAGACCACAUCUCAACAAAGAAAAGGAAAUAGGGCGGACAAGACUUCCUAAGUCCUUGAAUCAUUAUUUAUAUGCAUCUAUACAAGCACAGACAUACAUCUAACUACGCUUGAGUGUGUAUCAAGUGGAAUCAUAUCGUGAAGUGUAAGUGUACAAUGUGGAAUAACCGACUUGUGAAGUAUAACCGUACAGUGAAAUAUCCGAGUCGUGAAGUAUAAGCGUACAGUGGAAUAUCCGAGUCGUGAAGUAUAAGCAUACAGAGUGGGAUAAUCGAAUCGUGAAGUAUAAGUGUAUCACGAAGUGAAAGCAUUAUCGAGUAGAAGUUUAAAAUAAGUGAAAGCGAAGCAGCGGUAACUAACAAGUAGAAGCAUAUAACGUGAAAAUCUUGGAAAAACCUUUAUACUUAAGAAAAUCAAAUUUUGGAAUUCUUUGGUAAAAUGAGUUUGAAAACCUUUAGAAAUCUUUGGAACCUUUAUAAACCAGUUUGAAAUGAAUGUAGAUAAAACAGUAUAAGUAAGAGUUUUGAAACAAAUGAAAACCUUUUAGAAAACCAUUAUAGUGUCCUACUCGGUAAAACAGUGUACAGUGUGGUAAAAUCUUUUGCAUGCGGGUUAUCAAUCACAUGUGAUUGUUAUGAUAACUGGCAUGUUUAACUUGUAUUCCUCCCCUAUAAAACAAGUAAAAACAUUUAAAAGGUUCAUUCAGGGGUAACAACUCACCUGGUGUAAAUGGAUCCUACGAAGGUGCCGGUUGGGUGCUCGGUGUCAAGUAAGGACUUGGACACACUUAGUGACCUAUUUAACAUAUGAUAACAUAUGUUCACAUACAAUUAGUAUAUUAUAUACCAAUUAAACAAGUAUACGCACUCUAAGGAGCGGAAAACACUUUGGUUAAGUGUUUGGGGUGUCCCGGGUAACAACUAAGGGCUCAAAUGGCUUAGGAAUGGAGUUUGCUCUCUGAGAGUAAACUCUCAACACCAUGUUUACGGCCCAGGGAAUACUCACCAUGAGUUUACGGUCGUAAACUCAUGGUGAGGGGUUCUAGUGUGUUUUAAGGCUUCUAACUUGUUCAUGGAAUUAUUGUAGGUCCAAAACUAUAUAGUAUGAGUGGGUUUAAGGUCUUUAAGGGCAUCUUAAUGGUGUUUACGGCCCAGGGACAACUCCUAAGGGAUUUUACGACCGUAAACUCUUAUUCCUUGAGUUUCGUGAAGUUUCAAGCCCUUAUAUCACUUCUAGUAAUUUUUCAAGGCUAUAGGGGUGUUUGGGGUUCCAAGAGUGCUCUCCUUUAGAUUUAUGGUCCAAAUGACCAAUCCUUGAGAGUUUACGGCCGUAAGCUCUAUGGCUUGGCCGUGAACUGUCAAACACCCACAACUCUUUGAUUUUAAGCCCUUGUUUCAACCCUAGCAUUUUCUAGUGAAAGUAUAAGGCCAUUUAGGGGACAUCUACCAUCAUUUUAGCAUGUUUAGGGGUGUUUACGGCCUAGGCACUUGCUUGGGCCGUAAACUCCAUGUUACCCCAUAUUUCCUUGUGUUUAAAUGAUCUAAACCCAAAAUAGCAAGCCCUUAAUUCAUGUAUUAAGCCAAAGGGUGUUUUAGGAGUGUGUUUUGGGCAGUUUAACAAGUUUAAGAGGUGUUUACGGCCUUGGCAUAUGCCUGGGCCCUAAACUCUCUUUUAUGCCCUAAAUCCAUGUGUUAUAAUGUUUAAACACUCCUAGGCUAAACCCUCAAUUUAUUUCUAAGCUUUUAGGGACAAGUUUGGGUCUUUUGGCCUCAUUUAAGGGGUUUACGGCCUAAGGAGGAGCUUAGGCCAUAAACUGCUCUUCCAUAGCUUCUAAGUCCGAUUUUUGGGCUAUAAACACCAAUCAUAAUGUUUAAAAUAAGCUAAGGUAAGAGGGCUUACGAUUUGGAAGCGUUUGGUUGCGGAUUCGGGUCGAAAAUGAGUAUAGAUAGAGAGUAUAGAGAGAGAGGGUGGAAAAGGCUCAAAUGGAGUUUACUCCCCCUUUAUAUAUGGGUGGGAGUUGGAGCUCAGUGGAAUUCUACACAAUACUGCCGUUAUAAGGGGCUUUUGGUCGCACCCGAUUUAGUGGUAAUAAUAAUAAAAACUAACUAUUUCCAACUAAAUGGAAAUAUGUGUUAUGUGUUUUUAUUUCCUUUCAUCACAACUUAACGGCAUAUUAAAUGUAAACAAAUGAAAUGUUUAUUUACUUGACGACCUCUAAUUAACGGAACUUUUAGAAACUGGAAUAUUCUGUUAACGGUAACGGGGAAAUGUAACGGAACAACUUGGGUUGUCACAUCAUCCCCCCGUUAGAGGGAAUUUCGUCCCGAAAUUCAAGUCUAGGAAAGGAAGUAGGUAUGAAUGGCCAAGUAGAGGCAAGAGGGUACUUCCUCUUCUGUUUGUCCUCACAUUCCCAAGUGAACUAUGGUCUGUGUUUGUCAUUCCAACAAACGUUCAUGCACGGGAUGCAGUGUCCGCCUUGUACAGCUAGUGGGUUUCGACUGGUAUAUCUACGAGGUUAGGGUUCUCAAUGGUCUCUGUCACGAUGAGUGGGGUACGAAGAGUGACGUCGGGUAAUCGCAUAUCUAGUCUCAGAAGUGGAUCGAUCGGGUAUGAAACUUGUGGCAUAUCUGAAAGUAGUAGCGGCCUGAAAAGGGUUGGACCAAGUCUCCAUGAGAAUUCUCAGAUGGUCCUAAGCUCUCGGAAUGGUAGAUUUUUUCAGUACUUAGAACAUAGUGUACUUCUAUGGUAAGAUCAUCACUGGCAUGACCGCCAUUCUAAAGUUCCUAACGUUCUCACUCGUACUGUGUGUGUAGUCCUUCAGGUUGGUCCUUAGGAAGCUCGGGUGGUCUUUGGUUUCGUGUUUCCUGUCAACUGGUUGAUAGAGACUUUCUAGGUCGUUGAGUGGGUUGCGUGACUAUGGUUAUCUGUCUGCUGUAGAGUGUCUAUCUCAAGUUUGUGCAAAAUGGACCUGCACUGACGAAUCUUGAGACACAGAAACCCUGAGGGUCGGGGAGAUAGGGUUUCACCAGACGAGUGUUGGACUAUCUCAGGAGGUGGUUCUACUAUCCCUGUGUAAGGUAGUAUUCGUGGAACACCUAAUAGUCCAAGGAUUCUCCAAGACUUUGGUUUAUCCUAGUGCGGAAAGUGUAUGUUCCUGCAUAACCCUUCGACUAACACCAAGGCUGGUGUCAAGUCUAUAAUCUCUUCGGGAUAUGGGUCAUGAGGCUUAAUGCAACUACUUUCGCACUUGACUAAGUAUUCGUGGUUGCGAAGGUUAUCCUGUGGUUCUCGGUAUCCUAGUGUUCACUUCGGAGAAUGUAUUUUAUCGUCUACAAGGCGACGACGGUUUCCUCCAUGCGAGAGGGUGGAGGACGAUAGGCACUGUUCGUCUAUAACAGGGUGGACGAAGUGCCUGAGUAGUGCGAGCAUCUACUGCAACUACUCUUCCGAAGGUUCUGAGUUUUCUCGGUCUAGGUCAAAUCUAGUGAGUAUAGGUUCCCAUUACUCAUAACUUUAAUCUUUUCAUCCACUCUUCUUAGAGUUUACUUUAUCGCAGCUCCCGGAUUUCCGGGAUAUUUGCCGCAAUGCUUAACUCGGGGAAUUAAGCGUGAAUGGAUGGUCGUAGUCAAUGUCCUUGACUUUUACGACUCAUAUUUCUUUACCAGCCGAGUGUGUUAGCUACUAUGUUGGCUUAACCGGGACGACAACAAAUUUCGGAUUCGUGGUCAUUAUAGUAGCUCAACCCGAAAUGGUUCUCUUGACUCUAGCUCCCGUUCCAUGGGAUAGGAUGAAGGUUCUUUCUAGGGAAUGUACUAGGUAUGCUUCGGGUGGUUAUCGUCUUCUGGAGUAUCUGCAGUGUCGUCCACUUCGGUGUCCAUCUGACUACGAGGGGUCGGUCAAUAGCGUACGGUACCCUCUCUUGGGUACUUCGGAAGGUUUGAGAUAAGAGGGACGAUUGACGGAUCGCAGUAGGUUUGAUUAUUUGUGUUAGGUUUAGGUUCCGAAGAACCUUUAUUCGCCGACAUGGCUACGAAGAAAGUUCUUUUUACACAGCACUAAGAAUGUACACAUGGUUUCACGAAGUCGAACCAUGAUCAAUAGAGUCGUCGAAGUUGGCACACUCCGACAUUAUAUAAAAUGAAUAUCGAUAGAGUCAUGUGCCGAACUGGCACACAAGUUCUAGGUGUCUCGGGUUUCGUCCUAUGUAUCACUACCGCGAAUACUUGGACCGAUAGAGUCGACGCGGAACUAUAGAGAGUUCUAAGUGUUUCCGAAUAGAGUACCUUUUCAUGAGUGGAUUCUCACAAGGCAUUUCUAUAAUCGCCUUACAUAUACUAGUCAUGUAUAUUUAAGGUGGGGAGGACUGUUGACUGAGCGACCCCGCCCUAAAUCCACAACCAAACGAGGAAUAGGAAAUGAGGCAGCAUUCGCUCACUCUAGGUCUGUCCAUCUUAAACAUACAUGGCCGUAACGUAUAUGUUUAGCCAUUAUAGUUUUACCUGAUGAAUUUUAAAUCUUAUAACAGUGCUGCGACUUUCGCCUUACUGGGAAGAAUUUACAUUUUGAAUUAAUCUUUUAUUGUUUUUAGUUUAGUUAUCCGAGAUCGAGAGACAUACCAUAAAUCUAUCGGGUUCCUUGACGCUUCUCCCUAAGCAGUAGAGUCAGGCUCCUCAUGUGUCCUUGUUGUUUCCUUCAGCUGGGCAAUCCUUCUUGAAAUGUCCCAUUUCACCACAUAGGUGACAAACGGGAUUGAUCGCUGCAUUAGUGAUCGAUGCAAUACGCUCCACCGGAGUUCUGCAUACACGAGCAGUAUGCCCCUUCAUGCUGCACCUAGCACAAUAGAGCUCCCGGCAGACACCAUGAUGAUGGUAGCUGCACUUGUUGCAAUGGGGAAGGUUUCCUAUGUAUGGUCUUCUUGAAGUCGGGAGGGAAGGAUUGACAGGGGUAUUGGCUAUCUCAGCUCGUUGCCCUUCGGAAGGUCCUUGGGUCGAGGUACUUCCCUCCUCAAUCUUGAGUUUUCUCUUUAGUGGGUCUGAGUGAGGUUAUUGGGUGACUGGGUAUGCAGGGGCUGGUUGUUGUUGUCCAUUGCUAGGAUCAGAAAUCCCGACAGGCACCUUGCUAACAUUGGCGUUGUUAGCAUUCAGGUGAGCCAUUACAACUGCUACGGCUACUGAGACUGCAGCUUGGAAUGUAGCUUCAUCGAAUAACAGAGUAGAUUUCUUGCUUGUGGACUGGUUUCGUUUCUUUGGAGGCAUGGUUUUUCCUACACAGAAAGGAAUACAAGAUGAUGAGAGACGAUGGCUAGCCUGGACAUAUCUGUCCUGACUGUAUUAGGCAUAAAAUUUUCCCGUGCCUCGUAUAAUGAUUGUCUGAGUGUCGACUUACAUCCCUAUGAUGUAGUCCUGGUAUGCAAGGUAAGAGUAUAAGUAUCGGAAAAAGGCCAUAAGGUGCGAGUUGUUCCUACUAAUUUACCUUUAUACUGGGAAAGGUUUCACUCUCCGACCUGGAGAGAUUUGAGAACAGUUCGGAACGAAACCACGGAAAGAGAGGCUCAUGAAGGCUUAUGGCUAAACCACCUCAACAGAGGUGUGGGGAUCUGCUCUAAACGUGUAACUGGCAAUGGGAAACGACGAUUUACCUAACACAUAGCGUGAGUAGUGUAACCACUAACUCACUAAAUUGGAUUAUUUUAAGGGUGUAUUAGCGUGACGAACACGAGGGAAGAGACAACUCUCGGGUUCCAUGUACUGGCUCCCUCGGUCUGCCUCGUAUCUUUGACUGGAAUCGGCGUUGGUUUCCUUCGGGUAGUUACCUAGGGUUCUUUUCUCGUAUGGACAUAUUGAUUCUCUACUCCACCUUACUUCCGAAUCCGACUUCGGGUGUCAUCACUCCAUGAUGGAUGACUGGAAAUUUCGGAAGUUUAGGCGAAUUUCUCACCAAUGUCCCUAAAAGACAUAGGCACUUGGUGAAUUCAAUAGUCUCGACCCAAUUCAUUUAUUUCCGAACAGGAAAUCUUCUCAAUGAACCUCCUCUAGGUCUGAAUCAACUCAUCUGCCGAGCACUGAAGUGGUUAGGGUUGUCUACAGGGUUCGCGCGAGAAUGGAAAUGUCUAAAGAAUCCUAAUAGAUUAUUAACAUUUCACUGUAUGAUCCAUAUCGAGUCCUGCUACGAUUACACAGGGUAUACAAAUCAUACAUGACUUAGAUCCGAUAGGCCUUCGAAUAUGUGAUACUACUCUAGAGCCACAUCCCAACGAGGAAAAGGAAAUAGAGUGAAACCACACAUUCUUAGCCUAUGGGAUCCUUAUUAUAUAUAACCUUGGGAGUAUACCCUCUGUAGUUGUAGGUAUAUCAAUAAGGAUCUUUUUAGUUCUUCACGCAAGGUUAGUUAUGGAUCCUAAAAUACCCCUAUGGUAUUUUAAUUCUUGUUUGAUUCUUAUCUUCUGAUUAUCAUUCUGGGAUUAGUGUGGAUCUUUUAGCGUUCUAAAAUACUCCUAUAGUAUUUUAACUUUAUGUUUGUCUCUAGCAAUCCUAGUUGGUAAGUUUCAGACUUGCUGCACACCACUAUCACUCCCGAGCACAUGUUCAUCGCAUCUCGGAUAAAUGUAGUUGAUCAGGUUACAUUUAUCCCAGCUUACGAUUACAUAACUGCCCAGGUUUGACUGUAGUGCUCAACAUCCGAAGACUUUUAUUAUUGUUCUUCUUGUGAUACUUUUGUUCGAGUGUUUAGAUUCUGGAUGUUAUUAUACUUUGGUAAAAUAUGGUUAUAUUUUAAAGUAUAAUUCUUGGUCAGAGUGUUUUAUCCCUUUGUGUUUAUAGGUUGUAUAUCUUUUAUGAAUUGAUAUACUUAGCUUACUAUAAACAAUGCUCUGAUACCAAUCUGUCACACCCCAAAACCGGAACAGCGGAAACAUUCUGGGGUGGAUGACGUCAUAUCAAGUAUCACAACACAUGCAUAUAGUAAUCAAAGUACAACAAGACAUUGCAUUAAUAGUAAUAUUUUUACAUAAUUUACAUUACAAAGCAUCAAAGUAUACAAGUAAUAGAAUAAAUCCAGCGUGGUACUAAGCUAUCUUCGUCAACAGCUCCUGGGAUGUACCUGUCUAAUUGCUGACCUGAGAAUACAAGUUAUUUGAAAAGCGAGUAUCAGCAUUUUUGCAAAUGCUGGUGAGUUCAUAAGCAUUUAGUGUCAUUUAGUCAAAUAACUUUAUAAAGUAGUAGUUUAAGUGUUUACAGUGCAUUAGAGUUCUUUCCAGAAAAUCAUAUAUUUUCUUUAAUAAAAGCAGCCAUCUACCAAGACUGGUCAGUGUUAUGUGGUAAAAAGUAGUUUUCCCUUAAUUGCUAUCAUUAUCAAAAUAUUGAAUUUGAUUAUUUUAGAAAGCAAGAGACAUCAGGGAAUAUCAUACGCCUCAGCAGUGAGGACUGCUGACUAAGGCAAGCAAUUCAUAGACUCCAGGAGAGUAUCGAAUGAACGACACAUCUGGUUCAGUCUAACAAGUGGAGACACAGACCCCAGAAGGUACCAAAUGAAAGGUACAGCUGGUAAGGUCUAAAAACGAUGAAUACAGACCCCAGACAGUAUCAAAUGAAAGAUACGUCUUAUAAGGUCAAAACAGUGAAUACUGACCCCAGACAAUAUUAAAUGAAAGAUACGUCUUGUAAGGUCAAAACAGUGAAUACAGACCCCAGACAGUAUCAAAUGAAAGAUACGUCUUGUAAGGUCAAAACAGUGAAUACAGACCCCAGACAGUAUCAAAUGAAAGAUACGUCUUGUAAGGUCAAAAUAGUGCGACUCUGAAAAUGAGUUACCAACAUACAGUGUAAAUUGCCGGUGAAAUACCGUUACCUUAAGGCCAAUGAGUUAUAAGGUAACCCGGGAUACUCGUAACCAUACUGACUAGAGUUCCGGACGCCCUACAAGCAUCUAUAAAAUGUGACAUUUGUCACCCGUUGGCUUGGUAGGCCGGGACUGUAGCUAGCAGUCUGGGUGCGGGGUUGUCAAUCCCGUAUAGAUCUAUACACACAAUGUCCGCUCUCCCUACAGGAGACUCUGGUUACCAACUAGACGACGGAGAAGGUCGUGUCCUGAAGAUGCAUCCCAAAUAUUGGGUAGAGACUUCCAAAUAGUGGGUUUCUAAUGUAAGUGUCGAACUAGAGGUAGAGACUCAUAACUGAAUUGACUGAAGUAAACCCAUAUGUCUAUGCUUGUGUACAUAAUAUAUAACUAAUGAAUCAAACGACCUUCGGAUGGACAUCCGAUCCCACCAGACCACAUCUCAACGAAGAAAAGGAAAUAGGGCGGACAAAUCUUCCUAAGUCCUUCAAUCAUUAUUUAUAUUCAUCUAUAAAAGCACAGACAUACAUCUAACUACACUUGAGUGUGUAUCAAGUGGAAUCAUAUCGUGAAGUAUAAGUGUACAAUGUGGAAUAACCGACUUGUGAAGUAUAAGCAUACAGUGAAAUAUCUGAGUUGUGAAGUAUAAGCGUACACUAGAAUAUCCGAGUCGUGAAGUAUAAGCGUACAGAGUGGGAUAAUCGAAUCGUGAAGUAUAAGUCUACCAAGUAUAAGUGUAUCAUGAAGUGAAAGCGUUAACGAGUAGAAGUUUAAAAUAAGUUAAAGCGAAGCAGUGGUAACUAACAAGUAGAAGCAUAUAACAUGAAAAUCUUGGAAAAACCUUUAUAGUUAGGAAAAUCACAUUUUGGAAUUCUUUGGUAAAAUGAGUUUGAAAACCUUUAGAAAUCUUUGGAACCUUUAUAAACC